AAUUAGACCAAAUAACUUAAAAAUUAAGUCUAAAUUAAAAAAUCGAUCAAAAAUCAAACCGAUCGAUUUAAACUGAACCGAAUCAAAAUAAAGCGGUUCGAUUCGAUUUGAUUUUUUAUCCAUUUUAAUUUGAUUCAAUUUUUAAAAUUUAAAAUUUAAUUUUUAUAAUUUAAUUUGAUUCGAUUCAAUUCGAUUUAAUUCAAACCGAAUACUCACUCCAGCCAGGGAUGCUCUUCUUUUGCGGGGUUUACGUUGCAGUAUCGCAGGCUGAGGUGGGUGGUUGGGGAAGGUUCCGUCAAAGAAAGGAAAUAGAGGAAUGAAAAACAUAAAAAAGAAUUAAGUUAAAAUUGGAUCGAUUAUAUUUUAAAUUAUAAUAAAUAAAAUUAAGUAAAAUUGAAUUUCAAUUGAA
rnacentral:misc_RNA from 1 species